GGAAACGACACUAUCAAUCCUUCGGGUGAUUUAAUGGGCGUCGAGCGGCGGACGGGUGAGUAAUGCCUAGGAAAUUGCCUUGAUGUGGGGGAUAACCAUUGGAAACGAUGGCUAAUACCGCAUAAUGCCUACGGGCCAAAGAGGGGGACCUUCGGGCCUCUCGCGUCAAGAUAUGCCUAGGUGGGAUUAGCUAGUUGGUGAGGUAAUGGCUCACCAAGGCGACGAUCCCUAGCUGGUCUGAGAGGAUGAUCAGCCACACUGGAACUGAGACACGGUCCAGACUCCUACGGGAGGCAGCAGUGGGGAAUAUUGCACAAUGGGCCAAAAGCCCUGAAUGCAGCCAU
rnacentral:rRNA from 1 species